UGGAGUUUAGCUCAGCGGUUCAGAGCAUCCCGACUACCAGUCGGGAGGGUCGGCGGUUCGAUCCCGUCAACUCCCACCC
rnacentral:tRNA from 1 species